CCAUAACCCAGCCAUGCUAUCCUUGUCCCCUGCUCCCCCAGCAACCCUCAACUCCUGAGAUUGAGUCCUUGUGAUUUGUUUCCCUCUCUGGUUUCAUCUUGUUUCAAUUUUUCUCUCCCUUCCCCUAUGAUCUUCUGCCUUGGUUUCUCAAAUUCCACAUAUCAGGGAGAUCAUAUGAUAGUUGUCUUUCUCUGAUUGACUUAUUUCGCUCAGCAUAAUACCCUCUAGUUCCAUCCACGUCAUUGUAAAUGGCAUCCUGGUUAACUCUGACUCAUCUUUCAAGCCUGAGCUCCAGGGUCACUUACUUCUAGAUGCCUUUCCAGAUGCCCUUUGUCUGGGUUAGGGAUCUCUCUUGUGUAAUCCUAUGUGUCCAAUACACCCUUUUGUUCCUUUCUACAAUGUUUAGACUCUAGGAAGUUUUGUUUGAGUUAUAAUUCAUAAUACAGUGAAAUGGUCACAUGUUAACUCCCUUCAGUCUACUUGGUGAAAAGAAUAUCAAGGCACAGAAUAUUUCUGUAACUCCAGAAAGCUUCCUUCUACUCCUUUCCAAUCAACCCCUACCCCCCAGAAGCAAUUACUCCGCCACUUUCCACAUCAUAGAUUAAUUUGCUUAUUCUAGAAUGGAAUGGAAUCAGACACUAUGAACCUUACUUGUGUUUGGCUUUUUUCACUCACAGGUUUCUGAGACACACCCAUGGGAUUGCUUGAAUCUGUAGUUGGUCCCCCUUUACUACCAACUCAUCUUGCAUUGAUGAAUUUACCACAGUUCCCUAGUCUUCUGUUGAUGGACGCCUGGCUUAUUUCUCAUUUUUGGCUACUGUGAAUAAAGCUGCUGUGAACAUUCCUCUACAAAGUUUCUUUUUGGGAAUUAUGUUCUCAUUCCAGUUGUAUAAAUACCUAGGAGUAGAAUUGUUUCUAGAAGAGAUACCUGUUUAACUUCUAAGAAAGUGAAAGUUUUCAUGGCGAUUAUACAUACUGUAGGCUUCCUGGGUGCUGAGUCAAGGUCUUGGUCACCUUGGUUUCCCUCAUGGCCAGCCCAUUGCAGAGAACCCACUAAGCACUGAGUACUUGCUGAGUGAAGAACAAAUGGAUAGGAAGUUCAAACUGGUUUUCAUUCCUUUUUUUUUUUUUUUUUUAAGAUUUUAUUUAUUUAUUUAAGAGAGAGAGCACAAGCAGUGGGGAGGGGUAGAGGUAGAGGGAAAAAGAGAAGCAGACUCCCUGCUGAGUAGGAAGCCCAGUGCAGGGUUCAAUCCCAGGAGCUUGAGAUCAUGACAUGAGCUGAAGGCAGACGCUGAACUGACUGAGCCACUCAGGUGCCCCUCAAAUCAGUUUUCAUUCCAACACCCUCUCUACUAAUUGACAAACAAUGAAUGUCUAUCAGAGGAAUGGAAACUUGAUUGACUUAAAUGUGGUUUCAGUCCAGGUAGGCACACCCAGGGGAAUACAGUGUCAUUGCAGGGGCCCAGUAUGUGCAGGUAAAGCCAAGUGUGGAGACUGAUGGGCAACCAUACAAAGGUCCGGAUCACUGUAGCUGCCACGCUCACUCCUCAAGUAAGAACUGACACUUCCAGGUAAGGCCCUCUGUAGGCUACUCUUUCAAGCUCCUCCCCCUGCCUGGAUUCACCAGCAUAGAUUCAGAGUUCAGCCAAACUUGACAACUGUCCUUUUUGAUAGCAUUUUCUCCCCUUUGCAAGUGUUGCAAAUUCCACCUGGAAUACCUCCAUGCAAGGCCAUUGCUCUCUGUUGACAUCCUGGUCAGACUUCAGGGUUCGGUGAAGACGUUGUGUCCUCUCCAAAGUUGUCCUGGCCACCAAGCCUGGAAGCUCACUCUCUGGUGGGUCUGGGAAGUGGUGUUCAGCUGUGGGCUGUAUUCAUCAGCCACUGAGCAGGAUGUCUUGCCUUUAUUAUAGUUCUCUGUGUCUGUAUCUUCCAACUAUGUGCUAACAGGCUUUGUCAGGAUGGUGUGCUUAGUGGCCCUGGUUAUCUGGAAGGAAUGAGGGCUGCUGGUCACUAAGGGAGUAGCUGAGGCUACUCUUCAUGAUCCUUGCUCUUGGUGGCUGAUUCCACUAACGAGAACUUGUAUGGUAAUGCUUUGGCUCCUUCUUUCAAAGAGUUGUUUAGAAAAGAGAGAGUUCUAUCCGGAGGAGGAGGAUAUAAUGCACACUUAGGGAAAUUAGCUUUCUUUAGGCUCCAGCAAGCACAAAUAUUAACAGGUAGAGUAGCUUCAUAUGACAUUAGUAUUCCUAAGACAAUUAAAAACUAAUUUUCUUUGGAGGAAGAUGGCUCCAAUGAAUAGAGCAGUUAAUCCUCUGACACAUAUGUUUUUUUUUUUUUUUUUUUUGAUUGCUGUUUUGGUAAAAUCCUUAUUUUGUCUCUGUUCUGCAAACUGCCUUCUUUUCUCACUGUAUAAUUUCUAAAAAUAUUUAAGUUUAAUUUCUAGUAAUGUAAUAUAGUUAUCUUUACCCUGGUAACAAACAAAUGUGAAAAGAAUGCCAAGGGUGUGAAAAUCUGUAUUGAACAAAACAUUUUUUUCUAUAUAUUAUUUUUAUCUCUAUGUAUUUCUCUAUAUUAUAUUUUUCUAUAUAUAUUACUCUUUCUAUAUUUUUUCUAUAUAUAUUCAAUAUGUUUUAAAAUUAUCUUUUUUGAAUGGCAUGAACUCAAAGUUGCAGUUGGAAAAUAUAUUUUGGAGGUUGGUUUGUUGGCAAAAGUUAUUUUAAACAAAUAGAAUUACAAAAAUAAUGUUUCUCAUUUCUAAAAGGAAAAAAUUUUAUGUUUUUAUGAAACCUGUAAAUACCAAUUUCUCAGAACAGAAAAGGCAUGUAAGUUGUUUGACAUUGCAUAAUUCUGUAGUUGUUAAAAAAAAAAACAACCCACCUCAUUUUUAGACCUUUAAAGAAUUGGAUACCAGUGUUUUUUGAAGUCCAGUAAUAAUAUUAAGAAAUAGUUAAAACUAGUUAGCUUGGAUGUAUUUAAUUGCUUGUCUUCUUCUGUUUUAAUAAGAAACACUGGAUCUUGUAUGCUCAAGAAUUUUAACAGAUGCUUUCCCUCAACGGAGUCAGGAAGAAGUAAAUGCAGCAUUAAAAUUCCUAAGUCUAGUUCCUGCAUUAUUCACCUGGCAGAAAAAUGAAUUCACUUCUCUCAGCAAAAUGAGAGGCAUAACUCUUUCAGUAUGGGUAGGGUCAUGAAGCAGACAGUUUCCAGAAAGUCAGUCUAAUUGGCAUGGGGUACGUAGGAAUCCAUGGUCUUUAUAUCUUUUAGAGGACUUCAGAGCCGUGAAAAUAGUGCUGUGUCCCUGAGCUGGAGACCUACAUGUCAUUUAAUUCAGUGCACUCUUAAACAGUUGUUCCUAUUUCUUAAUAGGGACUCUGGAAUUUGCAUAUCUUAAUUUUGAUUUAAACAUUGAGCUUGACAUUUUUUGUCUGUUUGAAUGUAUUGUAGACAAUUUCAAACAUGUACAUAAUUAAACAGGAGUAUGACAACCACACAGUGACUGUUACCCGACUUGAAAAACUUAAGAAUAUAUGGCCAGUCGUGUUUCAUCCAGCAGCUGAACUCCCAGCACACCCAGUAUUAUUUGGAAGCAGUAUCUAAAAAUCAUGGGUCAACGUUUAUUGAUCCAUAAUAUUUCAGUAUAUAUCCGUAAAAGACAAGCCUCCCUUUUAAAACUAUUAUCACAUCAAGGGGAAAAUGAACAAAACUUCCAUAGUAUCAACAUAUGGUCACUAUUUAAAUCCCUAAUUGUUUCUCUCUCGUGUGUGUGUGUGUGUGUGUGUGUGUGUAUACUUUUCCUAGUUUCUUUUUGUUGACUCAGAAUCCAAAUUAAAAACUACAUAUUAUAAUUGGUUGCUGUGUAUUUUAAUGUAUUUUUUAUUAAAAGUUUUAAUUAUUAAAAAAUUUCAGACUUAUAGAAAAAAUGCAUUUAGCCAAUGUUAACCUGUUGCCAUUUUGCUUCAGAUAUCUUUGCCUGUUUUUUAGAAUGUUAGAUACAAUGUUGCUUCUUAGUUUUCCUUUUUUUCCUAUUUAGAGCUAACCAAUAUCAUAUAAUUGGUGCAUAUUCUUGAUUUAGUAUGUUCUUACGCUAUUACUACAUACAUGUGUGCAUAAAUAACUUCUAUUUUUUGUUUUUAUUUUUCUAUAUAAAUACAUAAUGUGUAUGCCUUUUUGCAACCUUUUUUUUUUUUCACUAAAUGUGCAUAUUCAUAUAUGUAGCUCAGGUAGUUAAUUUUAACUGCUGUAUGCUAUUCCCUUACAGGAAUAAACACCAGUGUGUUCAUUACCCUACUAAUAAACAGUUAGGAUGUUUCAAUUUUUUCCUCUUGCAAAUGACUCUCAGUAAACAUCCUUUUAUCCAUUCUCUUUGUCAAAUCAAUGAGAGUUUAUUUACAUGGUAACACCUAAAAGUGGUCAGGAUAUCUUUGGUUUUGCUGGGUAUCACUGUUUUCUCUCUAAAGUUAUAUAAUUCUCAGCAAUAUAUGUGAGUUUCAGGUUUCCAGAACUUCCCCAACACUCAUAUUGUUAGGCUUUUAAAUUUUGCCAAUGUCAUGGGUAUGAAAUGGUAACUCACAUUUUUUCAAUUUUCCCUAAUUACUAGUGAGAUUUACCUAAUUACUAGUGAGAUUUACCAUCUUUUUCUUUUUUAAGAUUUUAUUUAUUUAUUUGACAGAGAGAGAGAGAGAUCACAAGUAGGCAGAGAGCCAGGCAGAGAGAGAGAGGGGAAGCAGGCUCCCUGCUGGUAGAGAGCCUCAUGCGGGGCUCGAUCCCAGGACCCUGUGAUUGUGACCUGAGCCUAAGACAGAGGUUUAAUCCACUGAGCCACGCAGCCGUCCCUUACUAUCUUUUUGUAUUUAUUUGCUUUUUGGGUUUCCUCUUUGGUGAAUUGACUAUAAAGGUGUUUUUCCUCACAGCAGAUUUUGGAAUUUCAAGUGUUUAGUCUUAUUUAUGCACAUAAGGCAUAUUUAUUCUUUUCAAAUGGGUUCAGUAUGUUUUGUACGUUGAGAAACAGUUUUCUGAGAAAUCAUAUUUACAGUUAUAUAUGGAUACGUUAAGAUUGGAAGAGGACAUUUGUGAGAGCUGAGCUCUUUCAAGAUGGAGAAAAAUCAACCUAGUGUAGAAGCUACUUAAAAUAAUGUUGGUUUUGAGUAUUCUGUUCUAUCUUUUUGAGUCUUUAACCAUCUGGCUUUUUCAUCCGCUUAUUUUUUCCUUCCUUCCACUAUGUCUUCCUCCAAAUUUCUGACACCUCUCUGUAACUGACCAAUAUUAGUUUAUACAUACAUACUCAACACAUCCAGUAUCUAUAAGCUUUAUUUCAAAUUUCCUUGAAAUUUCCCUUCUAGGAUCCUCUGUCUGCCUGCUGCAAUAUGUCCUUGUUGGUCCAGGACUGCUAUGCAGGUGUUACCUGGAGCACUGUUCAUAUCCCUCCUGUGAUGGAUCUAUGUUCUCAGUCACAUUUUUUAUCUUUUAUGACCUAUUCCUUUAAUUGCUGGAGCUAACCUCCAAACUUUCCAAAAGAAGUUGUCCUGAAAGCACAUUUUCCCCAAUUAACUAGUUUGAAAGGUCUUUUUUAUCCUUUUUUUUUUUUUUUUUUUGUUACUUUUGUACUUGGGUUUUGUAAGAUAUCUAAGCUUAGAAUUCUAGGUGGAAAAUUAUUCUCUUUCAGAGUUUUGAAGGAUUGUUCUACUUCUCUGGGUUGCUGUGAUUGAGAAGUCUUAUUUCUAAUCUUUUGUGACCUGUUCUUAAUUUUGGAAACCUUUAGAAUUCUCUUUUUAUCCCUUCUUGGAUGAAUUGUAUUAUAUGUCUUAGUAUGGUCUUUUGUUAAAGCCACUUUUACUGGUUUUUCAUUAGGAUCUUGCAAUCUAGAGAUAUUUCCUUCAGUUCUGGAAAACUUUCCUUAAAAUCUGCUUCCAUUCAUUAUUAUCUUAUUAGAACUAUUUCUGGUUAUAAGUGGGACCUCUUGGGUCCUCUGAUUUUUUGCUUUUUCUAUUUCCAGUUUUUCAUGUUUUUGUUCUACUUUCUGGGAGAUUUUCUUGUCCUUAACCUCCUACUAGUCCAUUAUUUUUUUUUAAAGGAUUUAUUAGAGAGUGUGAGAGUGAAUAGGGAGAGGGACAGAGGGAGAGACUUCAAACAGAGCAUAAUGUAGGGCCUGAUGCCAUUACCCUGAGCUCAUGACCCCAGUUGAAACCAAGAGUUGGAGGCUCAACCGACUGAGCCACCCAGGUGCUCUUGAUUUUUUUUUUCUUAAUCAGCCAGCAUAUUCUUAAUUUCAAGAAAUUUGUUCUCUUAUAGUUGUUAGUUUAUGGAGUUGUGUUUUUGUCUUGUAGUUGAAUGUCUUUUCAAUAGUUUUAUGAAGAUAAGUAUGGUUUUUGGAAGUUUUCUUCAGCCUUCUGGGUACAUGAGGGUUUUUUUUCCCCCCCUUAAGAUUUAUUUAUUUUAGAGAGAGAGAAUGAGUGGGAGGGGAAGAGGGAGAGAGAAUGUGAGGCAGACUCUGUUCUGAGCAUGGAGCCCGACACAAGGCUCAAUCUCACAACCUUGAGAUCGUGACCUGAGCUGAAAACAAGAGUUGGGUGCUUAACUGUCACCCAGGUGCACUGCCCCCCACCCCGUCCUGUAUUCUAGAGUUCUGUUUUCAGCUUAGAGUUGUGUCUUUAUUUGUAUUAGGCUCUCCCUCUCCUAUUCCACAAUAUACCUACCAUUGUGGAUUGGUAUAACAAUUGAAUGUUUUUGGCUCAAGGUCAAAUAAUAUUGUUGGCAGAAAAAGAGGAGCCCUAUAAUGCACUUCUACCUUGACUAAACACUUGGUUUGAUUCUGCUCAGAAGACAAGGAUUAGACUAAAUGAAAUUUUUUUUUUAAAGAUUUUAUUUAUUUGAGAGAAAGAGAGUAUGAGCAGGUGGGAGAGGCAGAAGGAGAGGGAGAAGAACACUCCUUGCUGAGCAAAGAGCCUGAUAUGGGACUCCAUCCCAGGACCCUGGGAUCAUGACCUGAGCUGAAGGCAGAGGCUUAACCAACUGAGCCACCCAGGCACCCUAGACUAAAUGAAAUUUUAAACUACUUUCUACACAUAAGAAUUCCAAAGUGAUGAUUCUCAGGACUCUAAGUAGAUAAAAUUUUUGAAUCAUAUAUUAACUAAUUCCUUUGACAAUAUAUAAGUAUAUAUUGUCAAAAUAUAUAUAGUGCAUUAUAUAUAUAUAUAUAUAUAUAAUACUUUGAUAUUAAUAUCCUAGAUGCAUUUGCUUUCUAUUUCUUUUUUUAAAUUUUUUUAAAGAUUUUAUUUACUUAUUUGACAGACAGAGAUCACAGGUAGGCAGAGAGGCAGGCAGAGAGAGAAGAGGAAGCAGGCUCUCUGCUGAGCAGAAAGCCAAUGCAGGGCUCUAUCCCAGAACCCUGGGAUCAUGACCUGAGCCAAAGGCAGAGGCUUUAACCCACUGAGCCACCCAGGCGCCCCUACUUUCUAUUUCUUAAAUGUACUUUUUAGUUUUAGGUAAACUCAAAGGCUAAAGAAUAGAAAUCUAAAUUCCAAGAGAAACUGGUCAAUUUGUUGCCAUCCACAAAUACAUCCAGGGUAUAAAAGAUCUAUUCUGAAUUAUAGUUCACUUAGGAAGUGUAAGAUUUUCUAGGCAAAAGCAAAGGACCAUGCUUGAAUCUGUAUCACUUUUUAUGAGUAGCUAUAAACUCAAAUGAACCUCAUCUAUUUUAUGGAAUAGAUUCAUAUAAAUUGUAUAUCUUUCUAAAUAGUUGUAAACCUAAAUACACAUACUUGCCAAUAACUUGUCAUACAGUUGCAUUAAAAUUGAUCAAAACACACUCCACAUCCAGAGGAGGAUUCUAAUUUAUUGCCACAGUGUUCCAUUUAUAUCAGAUGUACAGAAGCUACACUUGUUGGAAUAACAGAGAACGUUUUAUAAUUUUAUAGUCCAUGUAUAUGUAAAGCUAUGGACUUUUAAAAAUGUGUCAUGGGGAGCUCCUGGGUGGCUCAGUCAGUUGAGGGUCUGUUUCAGCUCAGGUCAUGAUCCCAGGGGCCUGGGAUCAAGUCCUGCAUUGGGCUCCAUGCUCAACAGGAAGCCUGCUUCUCCCUCUCCCACUCCCCCUGCUUGUGCUCCCCCUCUCACUCUCUCUGUCAAAUAAAUAAAUAAAUAAAGUCUUCUUUUAAAAAAAAAGUAUCAUGGGACAUUUCAAAUGUACACAAAAGUCGAGUUGUCUAAUGAAUUCUCAGCUUUAAUGAUCACCAACACACAGUCAAGCCAAUCUUGGUUCAUCAGUGCUCUUUUCUCUGUCUCAUGUUAUCAUGAGAGAUCCAAGACAUCCUAUGAUUUCAUCUUAAAAUACUUUAGUCUCUUUCUUUAAAAGACAAGGAGUGUUUUUUUUAAACAUCACCACAAUAUCAUAAUUACACCUAAAAAAUUCCAACAGUUUUGACUCAAAAUCAUAGUGUCAGUACUUGAAUUUCUCCUGUCUCAGUUUUUUCUCCUUGGUUUGUUUGAAUUGGGAUCCAAAUAAUUUCACACAUUGCAUUUGGUUGUAUAUCCCUCAAAUCUCUCUCUCUCUCUUUUUUUAAAGAUUUUAUUUAUUUAUUUGACAGACAGAGAUCACAAGUAGGCAGAGAGGCAGGCAGAGGGAGAGGGAGAAGCAGGCUCCCCACAGAGCAGAGAGCCCGAUGCGGGGCUCGAUCCCAGAACGCUGAGAUCAUGACCUGAGCCGAAGGCAGAGGCUUUAACCCUCUGAGCCACCCAGGUACCCCUCAAAUCUCUUUUAAUCUAAAGUUUCUCUGCCUCUUUUUUAAAAAAAGUCUUACAAUUUUUGAAAAGACUAAGUUGUUUUAUUUGUUGAAAAGACAUUUUUUCCAGAAAAAAAAUUUUUUUAAUGUCCUACCUUCUGAAUUUUGCUGAUAGCUUUUCUGUAGUGUCACUUAACCUAUUCUUCUGCUCCUGUAUUUCCUGUAAACUGCAUAGUUGGGAAUAGGUAUUUGAUAUUUGACUAGAUAGAAGCUUUUCUGACACAUAAAGAUAGUAUAGUAGAUUUCCUAUACUGUACAUAAUGUACAUUUCCUCUUGCAUCCUAUCAUGAGGCUUACCAUAUGUUUCUCUUUAUGAUAUUAAAUUGAUCUGUGGGUUCAGAUAUUGUCACCUUGAUCCAUUCAUUAUAAGGUUCCCCAUCUGCCUUUCUCCUGUUAACUUGAGCAGCCAUUGACGAUGAUUGCCCGGGUCCACCGUCGGACACAAUAUACAGGGUUAAGAGUUUCCAAAUUUGGAAAACCUCACUUAUUUUCACCUUCCUGCCCCUGAUUUAUUCUGGCAUCUUGGUCAUUGAUUGUCUUUUUCUUGGGCUAUAAUAUAUUUAUCUCUCUCUACUGUACCAUUUCCCAAGUUAGUCACAUGGAACACAGCACUGCCAAGCACCCCGUGAGAGAAGUCUCCUUGGGUUUGGGGGAUGCCACUUCCUCUUUUCCCCUCUCAGAGCCUGUUAACAUUCUAAGAAAACUCUAAAUAAACUCGAUUUACCCAGAGUUGCAUCGACUUACCUGACCACUGGAUUCUUUCAUCAUUAAUACCUAUUAGUAUCUUAUUUAGAGAAACACUUUGAAAUGCCUCCUAAAGAGGGGGAGGUAGUAGCACUUGCCCCAUUCCUCCUGGGAGGCUUGCUAAUGUGAAAGUCAGAGGAGUCCUUACCGUUGCCACCUUCUGGGGAGAAAGGAGAGUGAGAGCAAGGCAAAGUUCGGAUAACCGGCUUGGUGUAUUGAAACAUGUCUUGUGUUAAUAUUCAUUGUAUCAAUGGCUCCAGUUGCUUUGUUUCUUGUCAGUGCCACCUAUGUAACUCACAGAUGAUUCCAAGUAUGUUAAUUACUGAUAAGAAAAUAAAGUCCAGCUGUAACAGUCACAAUUUAAAAGACAGCAGUUUGGUUUUAUAUGUUACAAAUUUCUUCCUGCACCCCACACAUGCACAGUCCCCCCAGAGCACUGUUAUUUGAGUUCAGAUGCAGUAUUGGUACAUGAGGAGUAGUAAAGGAAUCAUGACAAUAAUUGAGAUCAUUGGCUUCAGAUACCAACUCAGGGUUUGUUUUCAUGCCAGAGGCUCACGUCCCGUUUGUGGCUCACUAUGGAAAGUGGAGUCUGGCAAAAUUAGUGACAUAGACCAAUUUUCCUUUGCUCUGAAGAUACCUCAAUCUCUGUACAGUAAGUGUUUUCCAUUAGAAGAAAAAUGCUUUGCAUUAAGGAUCCUGAGAAAAAAUAGUGAUUGCCAGUAAUGCCAUCAGGAAACUAUUUUUUAAAUGUUUCACAGUAUAAGCAUGAAUCAGUCAUUAAGUAGGGAAUACAACUUAUUUUGCAGACUUGGAACAUGAAUCAAAAAUUUUUUGAGGUGGAGUUAUUCUAGGAAAGUGUGAAUUUUGAUUUUAGGAACAGGCACAAAGGUUAUACUAAUAAGAAGCACAAGUCAGAACACUUCAUUAAAAUAAACAAGAACAGAGCCAAGACUCAGAAGAUAUGAAGCUCUAUUUUGUGAGUUUUGUUUGGGAGAAUGGGAUGGGAUGAGACACAGAGGGCCAAGCAAGUCAUCAUCUAUGAUCUCAACAGCAGGUUCAAUGUGCUUUUUGUAGCACUGGGGCUGGUGCCUGGCCAUUGGCCAUACUGUUGAGUUAAAGUCUAGACCUCCACAGUUGAUACUUACGAUGAGAGUUACACUGGUGCUUUAAAAUUUAAAUAAAGCUUCAAAUUUAUCAUGAUUUAAAGUGCCUUUCCAUUCAGAAAAUCCAGAAAAGGCAAAUAUUACAUUAAUUACAUUACAUCUAAAUGAUAGACCCUUGUUGACUUGCCACAAACAUUUUCUUCAUGACAAGUUACUCUUAAGUUUGCUGUUCAUUGAAGGGAAGAUCACAUGCAGGUUUUGACUGUGGACAUUAUCUUCUCAUUAGGUAGCUUUCCAAUACGUUCCUUUGAGGACUCUAUGUGGCCUCAGAUAGGUUGUUAUGAUGAAUGAAGGAAGAAGGGUGGGGCAUAUGUCUGGAAAUUACCUUAAAAACAUUUCUUAGAUGCAACUUAAGGUAAUAAAUUUGCAUUUCUUGAGUAUAAAGCAGUUAAAAAAUACAUUCAUUUGUUGCUCCCUGAGAUUAUUACUUGGUGAAUCACUAAGCCAAAACACUGAUCUAUAAAUUCUCAGUAGACAAGUUCAAGAGGUCAGAAUGAUUUCAGUUAAAUCCUUCAUGAACGGAAGCCCAAAGAGGAGAAAUGACUUGCCCAAGGUUAUAUUUUACCUUGUGGUUUACAGAGUACAUUCAACUCUCAGCUUAGGGGGCCCUUCAUUCAUUUUUAAUAUGGCACACAGUUGCACUGUACACCUUGAGUUUAUAGUCUGGUCUUAAACCAAUUAUCCAGUUGGUGCAGAAUAAUUACAAUGGUGAUGAGCCGAUGGAAGGAAGGCUGGUUUUGCUUCUUGCUAGUGUCACCUUUUCAGGAGCUGAUUUCUAUUUUUGCAAGUUAUCCUACUCCCCAGAUUCUCUUCCUUGAUAGUCUAAAAUUCCAACAGCAGGUGAGCAAAUUGCGAAAAUGAUAUAUGCAAAUGCCAAUCAACAGGUUACAUCUGAGGACUGAAAAUAGGGAAAUUCAGGCAACAGUCUGGCCUGUGUCUCUCCUUGCAUGGUGCUGUGCAUGUCCCUUGAUUGCCUGGGUGCUUCUUAACCUCACCUCACAGGAGAAAAGGAAUAGUACCAGUCAAAACGUGGAGACUUAGAAUUUUUAAAAACUUCAUUAGCAGACUGACUUAGACCCCACAGUGGAUCUAAGAAAAUUUCUUCUUAAGGAUGGAGUUUGUAGGGUAUGAAAAAAAGGUAGGAAGCUCUGCACCAAGACUUUAUCUCUUCCCUUGGGUUAGCCAGGUCUUGGAGUUUUCUAUGUGUUUCAGCUUAUUUGUCUUUAUUUUAAGGGUAGCAAUGUUCCUUCUGUUUAGUUUCCAGAAGAAUGGCAAAGAUAAAAUUGUAUCAUUUAGGUCAAGUAAGAGGGAAAUUUGUAUUGUGACACUAGAUUGAAAGUUUCCUUGUAGUUUGAAGUUUUGUUUCAUUAUAAUAGCAUUUGCUUUAUGGCUGA